GUUAAUUACCCAAUAAGCCUCGCCCCUGAUGAGACACAGCUGUAGCCAAUAAAGAUAAAUGUGAUAAAAGGGAGUGGGUGAGCUGGUGAGGGGGGAUUUAUGAAGGAGGAGGAACCUUGAGGAAGAGGGAAUGAGAGAAUCACGAAAGAAGAAGGAUCUUGAGGAGAGAGAAUCCCUGCAGUGAGCUUUGCUGCUUUUAAUCAUGAAAUGGGUCAGAGGAAAAGGAGCAAAUCGGUCUCUUAGGAAAUUUGUUUUGAAUCAUGAACUUCAUAUUCUUUAUGGAAUAAAGAAUUUAAAGGUUGCACUAAGGGAAAGGGUGUCUCAGCUGCAGAAGAACAUGGGGUGAAGGUGCCUUUGGCUUGGCAUCCAUUUGUUUUUUUUAUAUGGUAUCUUACCUAUGGUAAGCACAAAUUUCCUUUGAAAAAUAAUAUGACAGUGACCAAGUUUUGUAAAACCAAAGACCUGUACCGUGUGUUUUGCUGAAGUUAAGGAC
rnacentral:lncRNA from 1 species